UCCUGGGUCACCUUGUCCAGCGGGACGGAGAGAGACAGGUGCACCUGACAGGCGUGCAUACCAUGGCUCUCACAAGAGUACAAGGAAUCUCCACAAUGGUUCUCCUGCUUUCAGGGGCCUGCUACGCAGCUGUGGAAGGUCCCUGGUGCUACGGUGAAGAACACUGCGG